UCUUGGUCAUUUAGAGGAAGUAAAAGUCGUAACAAGGUUUCCGUAGGUGAACCUGCGGAAGGAUCAUUAUUGAGUAUUGAGAGUGUUCUUGUCUGGUCACCCGACUGGCACCACUCUUCUUCUCUCUACCCUUUAUUAUUUCUUAACCAGUUGCUUUGGCAGUUGUCGGUUGAUGGCUGUCAAGGGACCUUUUGAAACCCUUUGCAAUCUAAUAGUAGAUAAUUCUUAUGUCUGAUUUUUAGUUACUUAAUAGUAUUUAAAACUUUCAACAAUGGAUCUCUUGGUUCUGGCAUCGAUGAAGAACGCAGCCAAAUGCGAUAAGUAAUGUGAAUUGCAGAAUUCCGUGAAUCAUCGAAUUUUUGAACGCAUAUUGCGCCUUGUGGUAAUCCACAAGGCAUGCCUGUCUGAGCGUCAUUACAUCAUUCAAGUAGAAAUUUUUUUUACUUGGUCUUGGAAUUUGACUUGCCUUUGGUAAUGUCUGGUCUGUAAUGUAUGAUUGGAGUCUAUUGACACUUUUAUUUGUAGUAUAUACCAUCGACUUUAAAAGACUCUAGACCUGGUCACCUUUCACAUCAGCCAAACGGUUGAAAUUUUGUAAAGUUUGACCUCGGAUCAAGUGGGGCUACCCGCUGAACUUAAGCAUAUCAAUAAACGGAGGA
rnacentral:rRNA from 1 species